AUUGAACGCUGGCGGCAGGCCUAACACAUGCAAGUCGAACGGUAACAGGAAGCAGCUUGCUGCUUUGCUGACGAGUGGCGGACGGGUGAGUAAUGUCUGUGAAACUGCCUGAUGGAGGGGGAUAACUACUGGAAACGGUAGCUAAUACCGCAUAACGUCGCAAGACCAAAGAGGGGGACCUUAGGGCCUCUUGCCAUCGGAUUUGCCCAGAUGGGAUUAGCUAGUAGGUGGGGUAACGGCUCACCUAGGCGACGAUCCCUAGCUGGUCUGAGAGGAUGACCAGCCACACUGGAACUGAGACACGGUCCAGACUCCUACGGGAGGCAGCAGUGGGGAAUAUUGCACAAUGGGCGCAAGCCUGAUGCAGCCAUGCCGCGUGUAUGAAGAAGGCCUUCGGGUUGUAAAGUACUUUCAGCGGGGAGGAAGGGAGUAAAGUUAAUACCUUUGCUCAUUGACGUUACCCGCAGAAGAAGCACCGGCUAACUCCGUG
rnacentral:rRNA from 1 species